rnacentral:misc_RNA from 1 species
AAAGUGCGAUAACUUAGGUGAACUGCAACUGGCGCGAUUCCUUAAAAUUUUGAACGCAUACUGUGCCCCGACCUACACAGUCGGGGCGUGUUUGUUUGAGCGUCUAAUACAAAACGAUACUGCCUCGUGCACGUAACCGUGGACCUUGCGAUUCGCUUCGCAUCGUUUGAAAUUUUCGGCAACAACCGUGUCGCAGACGAAAACUAGCAUUGGUUUUUUGUCGUCGUAUGUUAAGGAUCUAAUCCAAAAUUGCGAUGUAAAACCUUUGCCAUUUGUCGGACCGGGGGCCCACGUUUAAAACAUUCCAAUUCUAGACCUCAAAUCAAGCACGAUUACCCGCUGAAUUUAA